GAUGAACGCUGGCGGCGUGCCUAAUACAUGCAAGUCGAGCGAACAGACGAGGAGCUUGCUCCUCUGACGUUAGCGGCGGACGGGUGAGUAAAACGUGGAUAACCUACCUAUAAGACUGGGAUAACUUCGGGAAACCGGAGCUAAUACCGGAUAAUAUAUUGAACAGCAUGGUUCAAUAGUGAAAGACGGUUUUGCUGUCACUUAUAGAUGGAUCCGCGCCGCAUUAGCUAGUUGGUAAGGUAACGGCUUACCAAGGCGACGAUGCGUAGCCGACCUGAGAGGAUGAUCGGCCACACUGGAACUGAGACACGGUCCAGACUCCUACGGGAGGCAGCAGUAGGGAAUCUUCCGCAAUGGGCGAAAGCCUGACGGAGCAACGCCGCGUGAGUGAAGAAGGUCUUCGGAUCGUAAAACUCUGUUAUUAGGGAAGAACAGAUGUGUAAGUAACUAUGCACGUCUUGACGGUACCUAAUCAGAAAGCCACGGCUAACUACGUG
rnacentral:rRNA from 1 species